CCGUGACACGCGCGGCGGAGCCCACGGAGGCCGGGCGAGCGGGCGCCCCGCGGCGGAGGGAGCGGCAGCUGCAGCCCGGGGCGCGGGGACGGUGAGGCUCCCGGACUACAGACCCUUCCAGCCCAGCCAGCUCUCCAGCCCCCUGCACUGGGUCAUGAAGCCCUUCCCAGUUUACCUCCAAGCACAGAUGCUGUGCCGUAGGAGAACCUGCUUUAGACGUCAGGGUCACGGAAGGCCGCUUUGAGAGGAGACUGAUGUGGCUGAAACUGCAGGCGUCUGUAUUAAAGAGCAGAGCAGGUUAUGUGAAAGUCAGUUAACAUAUAGCGUGGAACCGGCUUCUGGGCUUUUUCUGAGAGAAAUCGGUAGCGGCGGGAAGAUCCUGAGCAGAGGACUGACUGCACCUGACAGGUUCUGACUGGGUCGUGCUGGCUGUUCUGUGGAGAAUCGCCGGAGGGGAAGCAAGGGAAGGGAACAAAGGACAAAGGAGAUCAGGGCGGUGCAGCUCAGCGUGGUAGCAGGUGGCAACAGUGAGGAGCGCGGCCCCUGGACGGAUGUUGGAGAUCCCAGGAGCAAGGGUGGGGGACAGAUCGAAGAGGAACAGAUCUGGUUUCUAUAUCCUCAGCUAAAGAUGAAGAAAGAACAGAAGCUGAAAGGAAAAGAAGGGAGAUAAGAGAUAAGUUUCUGUCCUUCCAGAGAAGUUUGAAACAGAUGGAUCCUGGAGGUGUUUUAGAAAGAGACCGCAUUCUUCCCAGUGGUUUUAUCAAGCUCUCUCUGCUUCUUCCCGUGGAUCCAGGGGAUAAGACAAAGGACAGCGCCCCCAAUCAGGGGAGGGACUCCAGCGAGGUAAAAUGCCACAUCAUAGGAGCCCAGCUUGUCACGAAGUAACCCUGGGAAGGGAAAAAACUGUCACGGAGAGAAGGAGUGUGGCUCUGUGGUCCCAGAUCAGUCACACAUUCCUUACAAAACAGGUCUGAAGUAUAAGCCUUUCCUGAUACGAGAAAGGAAGAAAACGUAGCUCUUUAGCCUUGUCACAGACUAUAGGCCUGUGGGUUUGUGUACCGAGAUAUUACAUGGAAAAAAAUAUUUGCAACCAA